GAAAGUCCAAUAUCUGGAGCAAAACAGGCUGCCUUCCCUUCAAAUGCAAAGCCACAGAAAAGGCGUGGGGUGUCCACUGCCACCGAUUUACUCAACACAGUGUCAGCCGAUUCACCACCUGUGGCUUCCAAGUGAGGACACAAGGAUCCUCUUCUUCCAAAUGACCUGACCUGGAGGGAAGACACCUGGAUAGUGCUGAAAAGAGCUUGAAGAUCAAAUGGCAAGGGGGAGUGCUGCACUCCACCGGCACUACUGGAAAUUGGGCUGGUCUUGUAAACAACAUAGAUCAGCCUGGUAGAGCUGAAUACUGAGUGUUUCUCAGGCACUUGGGGAACUGUGCCACCCUGACUUACAGCCAGUCGAUUAUGGACUGAAACUCUACAAACCGUGAGCUAAAUAAACCUUUCCCCCACCA